CCUACGGGAGGCAGCAGUAAGGAAUAUUGGUCAAUGGACGAAAGUCUGAACCAGCCAUGCCGCGUGAAGGAUGAAGGCCCUCUGGGUUGUAAACUUCUUUUAUAGGGGACGAAAAAAGGGCAUUCUUGCUCACUUGACGGUACCCUAGGAAUAAGCACCGGCUAACUCCGUGCCAGCAGCCGCGGUAAUACGGAGGGUGCAAGCGUUAUCCGGAUUUACUGGGUUUAAAGGGUGCGUAGGUGGGUUGGUAAGUCAGCGGUGAAAUCUUCGAGCUUAACUCGGAAACUGCCAUUGAUACUAUCAAUCUUGAAUCAUCUAGAGGUAAGCGGAAUAUGUCAUGUAGCGGUGAAAUGCUUAGAUAUGACAUAGAACACCAAUUGCGAAGGCAGCUUACUAUGGAUGUAUUGACACUGAGGCACGAAAGCGUGGGGAUCAAACAGGAUUAGAUACCCUGGUAGUCCACGCCCUAAACCUAUGGAUACUCGACAUUUGCGAUAUACUGUAAGUGUCUGAGCGAAAGCAUUAAGUAUCCCACCUGGAAGUACGAUCGCAGAUUGAAACUUAAAGGAAUUGACGGCUGAGAGAGCGACGACGACGACGAGGGAGGAGG
rnacentral:rRNA from 1 species